rnacentral:rRNA from 1 species
CAGCGGUGAAAUUUUCCGGCUUAACCCGGGAAUCUGCCGUUGAUACUGUGAGUCUAGAGUGCAAAUGGAGUAGGCGGAAUAUGUCAUGUAGCGGUGAAAUGCAUAGAUAUGACAUAGAACACCAAUCGCGAAGGCAGCUUACUAAGAUGCAACUGACACUGAUGCACGAAAGCGUGGGGAUCAAACAGGAUUAGAUACCCUGGUAGUCCACGCUGUAAACGAUGAUAACUCGUUGUCGGCGAUAUACAGUCGGUGACUGAGCGAAAGCGAUAAGUUAUCCACCUGGGGAGUACGAUCGCAAGGUUGAAACUCAAAGGAAUUGACGGGGGCCCGCACAAGCGGAGGAGCAUGUGGUUUAAUUCGAUGAUACGCGAGGAACCUUACCUAGACUUGAACGAAGGGGGAAUAAUGCAGAAAUGUGUUAGCCAGCAAUGGCCGCCUUCGAGGUGCUGCAUGGUUGUCGUCAGCUCGUGCCGUGAGGUGUCAGGUUAAGUCCUAUAACGAGCGCAACCCUUACACUUAGUUGCCAGCAUGUCAUGAUGGGGACUCUAAGUGGACUGCCGGCGCAAGCCGCGAGGAAGGUGGGGAUGACGUCAAAUCAGCACGGCCCUUACGUCUAGGGCGACACACGUGCUACAAUGGUCGGUACAGAGGGCAGCUACACAGCGAUGUGAUGCAAAUCUCAAAAGCCGAUCUCAGUUCGGAUCGGAGUCUGCAACUCGACUCCGUGAAGUUGGAUUCGCUAGUAAUCGCAUAUCAGCCAUGAUGCGGUGAAUACGUUCCCGGGCCUUGUACACACCGCCCGUCAAGCCAUGGAAGUCUGGGGUACCUGAAGUACGUGCCCGCAAGGAGCGUCCUAGGGUAAAACAGGUAACUGGGGCUAAGUCGUAACAAGGUAAC